UCGAGAUGUAGGCCAUCAUGGCGGAGAGCUCCAGGGUGAUGCUGCAGGUGUGAGACAUGCUCCGUCUGCAUAUCAUUAAUCUAAUACACACAGCAGGCAUGACGGAAACUUAGGGCUCAGUGGUUUAACAGUGAAGGGCUGGGUGAGUAGGGGGUAGCGGUAGGGUGUAGUCAGGGGCUAGGUGAGUAGGGGGUAGCGGUAGGGUGUAGUCAGUGGCUAGGUGAGUAGGGGGCAGUGGUAGGGUGUAGUCAGGGGCUAGGUGAGUAGGGGGUAGUGGUAGGGUGUUGUCAGGGGCUAGGUGAGAGUAGGGGGUAGCGGUAGGGUGUUGUCAGGGGCUAGGUGAGAGUAGGGGGUAGCGGUAGGGUGUUGUCAGGGGCUAGGUGAGAGUAGGUGGUAGCGGUAGGGUGUUGUCAGGGGCUAGGUGAGAGUAGGGGGUAGCGGUAGGGUGUAGUCAGGGGCUAGGUGAGAGUAGGGGUAGUGGUAGGGUAUAGUCAGGGGCUAGGUGAGAGCAGGGGGUAGUGGUAGGGUGUUGUCAGGGGCUAGGUGAGAGUAGGGGGUAGCGGUAGGGUGUUGUCAGGGGCUAGGUGAGAGUAGGGGGUAGCGGUAGAGUGUUGUCAGGG
ensembl:lncRNA